rnacentral:rRNA from 1 species
UGGGGAAUCUUGCACAAUGGGCGAAAGCCUGAUGCAGCAACGCCGCGUGCGGGAAGAAGGCCCUCGGGUUGUAAACCGCUUUCAGAAGGAACGAAACUGACGGUACUUUCAGAAGAAGGUGCGGCCAACUACGUGCCAGCAGCCGCGGUGACACGUAGGCACCAAGCGUUGUCCGGAUUUAUUGGGCGUAAAGAGCGCGUAGGCGGCGCUGUAAGUCACUUGUGAAAUCUCUGAGCUUAACUCAGAACGGCCAAGUGAUACUGCAGUGCUAGAGUGCAGAAGGGGCAAUCGGAAUUCUUGGUGUAGCGGUGAAAUGCGUAGAUAUCAAGAGGAACACCUGAGGUGAAGACGGGUUGCUAGGCUGACACUGACGCUGAGGCGCGAAAGCUAGGGGAGCAAACGGGAUUAGAUACCCAAGUAGUCCCUGAGCGGGCUGGCAAGGCGCAU